rnacentral:lncRNA from 1 species
ACCGCAGGUUAUUUUGAAUGAGUUAAAAUGGAUUAACAGUUUAAAUUUUAUUAUGUAGCUACCCCUUUCAGAUCUCCCCCCCCCCAAUUUAACCCAUUAGGGGUAUUAGCUAUGUUUUUUCCUUCCAAGUGUCAGUUGAGUAUUUAUGCUUUUGCAGAGGGGGAAAAUCUUCGAUACGGCGUAUGGCUUUUAUUACAUGUUUCACACUGUUCAAGAAAUGGAGUUUUAAGCAACAUACAAUUAAAUCUAUAUUGCUGUUUGGAGGAGGGCCAAGGAACUCGGCAAUCAAUUAGUUUAGAUCUUUUGAUACUUGUUGCUAAAAUACAAGUAUAAAACUACAACCUUCAGGGCUAGCUGCUCCCCUCCUUUUAACAAGAAAGCAGGCUAGUUAGGAAUGUCAGAAGGAAUGGCAGUUGCUCUUGCCUCCAGUUUAUCCUUUGAAUUCUUCAGUGAUACUCACAGAUUUUUUUUUCUACUUCCUCCUUGCCUUCCCAACAGUUUCUUGUCUCCUGUUUUUAGCUUUGUUUUAGGAUUUUGUUAAUAAAUUUACUUUUUAAUUGUAUUAUUUACAA